UACGGGGACUUGAAACCAUUCCCGUGCCUUCUGCGACUCCUGUGACUGCGUUGAGAGACGGCAUGGACCUCCGAGCAGCUCGCGCUGACCAUGGAUGCAGUCAAUCGGCUGAGCAACGCGACACGAGAGACCAUCAAGGCUCAAAGGCAACAGAUAGAGCUAAACAGCCAAGCAAUACUCCGGCUACAAGAAGAAAUCCAACUCAUCGGACAAGAGAUCGAUGCCCUGUGGCAGGUCGCCACUCAACUUUGCGACCAGAGGUGGCUGUCCUUCCGGGUGUGUGUCACUCCCGUUCGCACCAACUUGACUGAAACCACAAAACUAUGACCGCGUGGUUACAGGACACUUAUCUGCCAAAAUUUCAUAAUCUGUCUGUGAUUGUUAAUCACGAGUUAAACGAGAUAGAAAAGGUUCAAUUAAACCCAGUUAGGUUUGA